rnacentral:lncRNA from 1 species
GCUCCGUAAAACUUUUAUUUAUGUUUAUAUCCCUGUCGAGCUCUGGAGGUCAACACGUUGACAGUCCUUCCCCAGUGAGCCGGCCCCGGCGUCAGCUCGGCGACCUUUCUCGAGGUGACUGUUAGGGUUCGGGAGAAAGAGGGUCGUCGUCGUCGGCGGAGCCGGUGACACAGGUUUUUUGAGUAUCUGAGGAUCUUUGGGGGUUGGAGAAGUACUACAUAUGGCAAGCUGUAACGCGGGUUUCUGAUCUUCUCAGGAUCUCGCGACGAGCGGAAUGGAGCAGUCGAGGAGGAAGUCAACCCCUGCGGCUGACGCAGCGGCUGGUGGGUCUGGUCUUCUCCGCCCCGCCGCCGAACGGGCAGGCCGUGCCAAUCGGCGGCACCAUGCAGUUGUACUGGAGGC